GACAAAAACACGGUUUGGAAGAUGAAUUCAUGAUGUACUCGCUCAUUAUAUACAUUUUGCAAAUUUUGAACACAGUAAAAGUUACAUAGUGCAGCUUUAAACUAAAACCAUUAUCUCAAUUAU